AUCUCUUCGGAGUGAUCGAACCCGAGUUAGUGGCGGAUGGGUGAGUAACGCGUGGGGAACCUACCUUUUAGUGGGGAAUAAUCGUUGGAAACGACGACUAAUACCGCAUACAGUGUCCGGAUCGCAUGAUCCGGAUAAAAAAGACGGCCUUUGUGCUGUCGCUAAGAGAUGGACCCGCGUCUGAUUAGCUAGUUGGUAAGGUAACGGCUUACCAAGGCGACGAUCAGUAGCCGGCCUGAGAGGGUGAAUGGCCACAUUGGGACUGAGACACGGCCCAAACUCC
rnacentral:rRNA from 1 species